rnacentral:rRNA from 1 species
UUGGAGAGUUUGAUCCUGGCUCAGGACGAACGCUGGCGGCGUGCUUAACACAUGCAAGUCGAACGAAGAGCGAUGGAAGCUUGCUUCUAUCAAUCUUAGUGGCGAACGGGUGAGUAACGCGUAAUCAACCUGCCCUUCAGAGGGGGACAACAGUUGGAAACGACUGCUAAUACCGCAUACGAUCCAAUCUCGGCAUCGAGACUGGAUGAAAGGUGGCCUCUAUUUAUAAGCUAUCACUGAAGGAGGGGAUUGCGUCUGAUUAGCUAGUUGGAGGGGUAACGGCCCACCAAGGCGAUGAUCAGU